rnacentral:lncRNA from 1 species
UUUUUGGAUGAUUCAAUACAUUGAUGCCUAUACCAGUUUGCUCUCUGGAAAUCAUCUAUGUUUGUUUUUCUCCCGGAAAAAUGAGCAGAUUUAUAUUCUGUGUUGAAGCCAAAAAUAGGAGUUGGUGUUAUAAACAAUUGAAUUUCAUCUGUCAUACUUGAAAACUACAAGAUUUAAAUGCUACGUAUCUGAAGAUUGGAAUUUUGAAGAUCUAAAAUGCUACGUAUCUGAUUUAAUGCCUCCGCACACAAGAGUGCAUUUUAAUAGCGAUUUAUGAUGGUCUGCCCAUCAAAAUUUUGCAUCCAUUGCACAUACUUUGUGGAGUUGAGCUCUUAUGUGGUCACAAAUCAAAGUUACAUAGUUGAUUUAUGUGGUGGCCCAAAAGAUCUAUCACUUGUUUUAAAAAUAAAUUUUGUGUUAUGAGGUUUUAAAAAUUAAAUUUUAUCUCACUUCAAUUUGCGUGCAUAGUUCGGGUGAGUAUUUGAAAAGCCAUUAUGUGAAAAUUUGUUUAAGAAUAAUGAAUUUUGCCUUUAAAAUAAAUUUAAAUUGACUUCGGCCAAUAUUUUAGGUAAACGUACCAAUCGAAUCCGGUAUAUUUUCCACGUUCAUAGGAGUGUGUUUAUGUUUCUGUUUUACGAAUAUGAUAUUUUUUGGGGCAUUUCUAAUAAUAUCUAUACUUGUUCCUAUUUUGGCAUUUUUAAUUUCUGGAGUGUUAGCCGCAAUUAGCAAAGUGCCGGAGAAACUUUCUACUUAUGAGUCAGGUAUAGAACCAAUGGAGACCUGUGAUUUGACAGUCCUAGAGGGUCCGUAGGAAAUAUGGGACUUGGGCAUAUGCUUGGAAACGAAUUCCGAGGUCACAAGCCCAAGAAAUGAAUUUUAAAGAAAAUUAUUUUCUGGAAUAAUUAUGAAGUUGAAGGAAAUAAAAUGUGUUUGAAAUUUGAUGGUAGGCCCAUAUUCUAGUUUCAGAGCCCUGUACAUGUCUUAUAUAUGAUUUAAGUUGAGUCCGUAAAAUUUGGUUAGACUAGGCACUUAACAUCACAUGGGGUCGGUUGUGCAGAUACUGCACUCUGCAUUAUGUGCAGAUCCAGGAACAACAGCUUUUGGACCUUAGCUUGGGAGACUGCCUUCAGUCUAGUCGGAGAUUGUGAGGUAGUCCUGCAGGCGUCCGCAUAUCCCUGGUAUCUCCCUCUAUCCCUUCAUAGGAGGAUCAUUUACAUAUUUCAGAAACAGUGUAUUAUUCAUUUUUCAGACCUUGUUUGUAGUAAUUUUAGACUGUCCAUAAAGCGUGACACCAGUUCUGGGUACAUUUUGUUUAAGAUGUUGGGUCGAAUAUACGUUUAAACAAUUUUAUUGUUUCUUCCGCUUGUUUCAAUUUCCGUUGUUAUUAAACUAUUGAUUCACAUUUGUUAAAGAAUUAAAAAGACAAAAAGAUAAUUUGUUCAAAUAGUUGGUUUGCUUAAUUUUCAUUAGUAGGUGUCAUCACGACUCCGAAGGGUAAGACAUCCGGAUUGUGACAAUUUCAACUUGACUUAAAACUUCAUGCUUCAAAAGUAAGACAACCAAAAUAUAUCUAAUGAAUGAUGCAUCUGGAUAAGUGGUACAGUAUAAGAUUAAAACUUAUCGACAGUUAAAUAGCGUAGAUUAAAAUAUUAUUGCUAUAGUAGUAACAUGGAUGUGGUUUGAUUUUAUAACUAAAGAAUUCACUGUUGAAUUAAACACAGUAAGAAGCGCAAUUUAAAGGAUCUCUAUUUAAUAAUUUGAAUGUGAAUAACUCAGACAAUACCUGUUGAGAUUUCAAACUUGUGUUCUUCAAUCAUCUACAAUUUGUUUGCACAAACGUGAUGCUCAUUUGUAAAUAAGGGACACUUUCUAAUCCAUUUAACAAAAAUUAUUACGUUUAGUUAAUUUACCCGUGAGUUGAUCCCUAAGGGUUGCUGCCUGAUGUGUACAGGAAAGUAACAAAGUGCUUCGACUACAGAAUGAUAUUAGAUAAUGAUCUAAGAUUUUAAGUUUAUAGAUUUUUGUCGCAAUUUUAAAUUAAUAUAUAUAUUUUAAUAAUUGGAUUCACAAAUAAAUAUUUAAUAAAUUUUUCAACAAAAAUAAAAGAUUUAUAUAAAAGUUACUAAUUCUCGAAGAUCCACAUAAUACAUGCUAGAUCCGCUCAUGAUUGAAACAAGUUAGAUGAAUAUGGACCCGUUAAAGUUUUAAAUGGGUAAAACCAAAUUCCCCGCUAAUGUUAUAAAAUCAAAUUCUCCCUCUAACCUUUCAAGUAACCCCUCCGAAUGACUUUUGACUACUAUAUCUUUAUUUACUUCUUCCAGAACCUGCUUAGAAAGCCCUCUUGGAAUGAAAUUAAUUUGAUAAUUAUAUAAUUUAGUAUAUUUAUUUGUUAAAUAAUUGCUUGAUUAGAAUAGAAUUGAAUAUAAUUAAAAGGAUGGAGGUAAUAAUUAAUGAUAAUUAUACUAUAUAAUUAUAAAGUUAUUUCUUAGUUUCUUUCCUUUUGUUUUAUUUUAAUUUAUUUUCUUUAUAACUUUUUAUUUCUAUUAUUUUAAUUUUUAAUUUUAUUUUAAUCUCUUUUAAAUAUAUUUUCUUUUACAUUAUUUAUCUUUUAUUUGUCUAUCUUUAUUUCUUGUAAUUCCAUGUAAUUGCUUAUAUUUUAUUUUUUACUGUUAUAUUCUAUUUUUUGAAAUUACACUUCCUAAUAUUAGAAAUAAUGAGUCAUUAACAAACUUGACAUAUAAUGAGUAAUGCAAUUAAAGAGAAAUUUUAUUGUUGAAUGUGGUUAUACACUUAUUAUAUUUCCUAAUCUUAAGUUAUUGUGGAACUUCCAAUUAUUAUAUUAGAAUUUGACAUAUGUUAAGACUUUCUUUUUUGACUUUUGAAAUUAUGUUGUAUUCAUGAUUCCAAUUUGCUUGUUUUAGUAGUAUUGUCUCACUUAGAAUUGAUAGAUUUUUUGUCAAAUAUUUGAAUAAUGCUAUAACUUUAUUGUAUGAAUAUUAAUUGAUUUAAUCAAACAAGAAAUCCAUUAUAUUCUUACAAAACGUAUACUUUUAUUUUUGUGUAAGUAUCUAAAAUAAAUAUUAUUAAUUUGAAAAGUAUAUAAAUUAUUUUUAUUAUAUUAGUUAUAAAUAUAUGAUUAUUAAUUAAUACAUAUUCAUGAAAAAUAUACAUCAUAAAUACCAAAUAUAAUACAAUUUAUACUUAUUAAAAUUUAUUAGCAUAUGUUUAUUAUAUUAACUUUUAAGUUUUGAUAAUUACUUUAUACUUGUAAUUACAGUGACAAGCAAACAGAACAUCACUCUAUUAUUCUCAUUACCAACUUAAAUGUUUGAUUACAUUAAUAACAGAUUUCUUUAUUCUUACUCUUUAAAGCUAUUUUUGUCUGUUUAAUACGCCGACAAGCUCUGCAUCCAAUCUGGUUUAUAUCCUUAAUCACAUUAACAUAUCCUCGAAGAAUGCUUAAACUCCCUAGGAUUCAUAUUAAAUGAUCCAAAAUAAAUAACACAUAACUAAAUUUGAAAAUAAUUCGACUUUAAAGUCUUUAUUUUAUCUUUUUUGUCCUUAAAAAAAGUUUUUAUAGCCACGCAAAUAAUAUGAUACUACAAACUGUUAACCCUUAAACUUUAAAAAACACAAAUUUAAAAAGCCUUAAACAGAGAGAGUACGUACCGAAACUACGUACCGAAUCAAACUAGCUUAAACAACAAGAAACAGAGAGAGUAGUAUUUUCUGCAGAAAAUGUAGGGAAAUUUUAAGCAACUAGAAUUCAUAGAACAUUCAUAUCUCAGACCAAGAGGUCAACAUAAAGGGGAGACAAAUGCCAAAAUAUUGACUGAUGUUGUACGCAUAAACAUGAAAUUUAAAACGUCAUUCAUUCAGAAAAAACAGGAAAUUGCUCUACACUAUCAUCAUAAAAUUAUUAUUCAAUUUAAAUGUGUAACAGAAAAAUAUGUAUAAUCGUUUACUGAACCAUUCCAUCAUGAGGGGUCAAGUGGUUCACCCAAUAACAAUGCAAUUCUGAUUUCCCUGACGUUUACGAGAGACCAAUUCACAAAUAAGGCAAUUGAUCCCUGCUUUUAUCAUCAGGUUUUGUAACUUAUACUUUAAAAAAAUUACAAUUUAAUCCAUAAAGCUCAGAAGCCAAGCGUAACAAGUGAAUUUCAUUGAAGAUCCAAGCUGAUCCAAGCUUAAAUUAGAUCUUCUUACGUGUUAGCAACUCAUCAUCGCCAAAUAAACGGAGGAAAAUUAACACAAAUAAUUUGGCUACUAUUUAUUUGAAGGAAUGCUUAGCAAAAAGCAGAACAUCCUCCAAUCGUGAUAAGCAGCUUUUUAUAGGCACCGUGCAAAAGGUAGUUUUUUAUAGAAAUAAAUAAACCCCCGUUGUCUGAGAAAUGCCUGCCUCCCCUCCAACAAUCAAAUUAUAUAGAAAUUCGCAAUAUAAAUUUAAUGUACCAAAAAAUAUUGUGUCAUGAGAAUACUAAUCACUCUCAUGGGUCUUCAAUUUGGAAAUUGGCUUAUUUAGGCUUCAUGCGGCAGACGGGUUACCAUUAACUGGUACAUGCUGCUGACUCUUUUGUGAAGCCAAUUUUUGACAUUACAAUCAAAAUCAUACAGUAAUAUCACAAAUAUAAUUCAUUUUGCAUCUAUUUUUACCUAAAGAUGGUUGAAAAAAUCAACUGUACGAGCUGAUUUUCUUGAAUUCGACUCUUCUAGUCACCUAAUAUUAUUCAAAAAAAUAUAUAAUUAGGGGAAAUACAGAAAAACUAAAUAAAGAACAAGAGGAAAACUAGUUACUAACAACAAUCAAAAUCUGAAGACGAGCAAACUUAGCAGAUAGGUCGCUCAGGCGGGGCAAAGGAGAAGAAACGGCUGCAGCCAAGUGAAGUGGGGUGGCAUUGGUGGAUUGGUGUUUAUUUCAGGUAGGCUUACUACUGCAUAUAUAGCGUUUACAGAGAAAACCCUAAUACGGAGAAGAUUUUAUAAUUGCAAUGAAGGACAAAACUUUUGCAAGUCUUACACAUCGAUGUAGCUGUUAAUGUUAUGUGUGUAGUUCCGUG